AAGCGCAACCCUUGCCAUUAGUUGUAGAAAGGGCACUUUAAUGGGACUGCCGGUGACAAACCGAAGGAAGGUGGGGAUGACGUCAAGUCUUCAUGGCCCUUAUAGGUGGGGCUACACACGUCAUACAAUGGCUGGUACAGAGGGUUGCCAACCCGCGAGGGGGAGCUAAUCCCAUAAAACCAGUCGUAGUCCGGAUCGCAGUUUGCAACUCGACUGCGUGAAGUAGGAAUCGCUAGUAAUCCCGGAUCAGAAUGUCGCGGUGAAUAAGUUCCCGGGUUUUGUACACACCGCCCGUCACACCAUGGGAGGGGGUUCUGCCAGAAGUAGGUAGCCUAUGUUUAUGGAUGGCGCGG
rnacentral:rRNA from 1 species